rnacentral:rRNA from 1 species
GACGAACGCUGGCGGCGUGCUUAACACAUGCAAGUCGAACGAAGCUUGGUUACGCAUUCUUCGGUUGAAGUAUGAUAUGACUGAGUGGCGGACGGGUGAGUGACGCGUGAGUAACCUGCCCUUCCGAGGGGGAUAGCGUGCGGAUACGAACGGUAAUACCGCACAAUGUGUUUUGACCGCAUGAUCGAAAUAUCAAAGAUUUGUCGCUGAAGGUUGGACUCGCUUCUGAUUAGGUAGAUGUAGGGGUAACGGCCUACCAAGACGACGAUCAGAAGCCGGAGUGCUGAGUUGCGCGGCAAAAUUGGGACGGAGACACGGCCAGGACUCCUACGGGAGGCAGCAGUGGGGAAUAUUGCACAAUCGGCGCAAGCGUGAUGCAGCAACGCAGCGUGAAGGAAGACGGUUUUCGAAUUGUAAACUUCUGUUCUUAGGGAAGAAUAAUGACGGUAGCUAAGGAGAAAGCCACGGCUAACUACGUG